AGGAAUGUUCAAAGAAGCAUCUGGUGCUUCUGUUCUGAACCGUACCCGGACAGCCUGGGUCGAGGCGCAGCCUGGGGGCCACGGCGGGCCACUGCUGGGCUACCUUGUCGUGCUGACAGAGGGGGAGCAGAGAGCUCUGGAACCUGCAGACCUGGGCCAGGAGUGGUGACCUCGAGACACACCCGUGCACACCUGUGCACCUCUGGCCGCCACCCAUGGGAGAAGGUGACAGCCCCAACCACUCUAAAAUAUAUUUUGUGCUUUGCCUGGCACCCUCUGAGUACAAUGUUGCAAGACAAGCUUUUCUGGAACAUUCUCUGGAAAACAAGCUCAAGCGAGUGAAGUGCUCCCCCCCGUCCUCGGCCCAUGUACCCGGACCCCCUCUUGCCCACAUCGCGGCUCUUGUAUCCUUGGUUACCUGGUGAGGGCAGGGUGGGGGGCCGCCAUCGGGGCAGCUGGGGGCAUCCACAGCUGUCAUCCCACCAUCCCGAGUCCUCACGAAUAAAAAGUUCCCAGGAAAUGGAAUGAAAAGGCG
rnacentral:lncRNA from 1 species